AUUUGCUCUGCUCUGAAAGGCCCUUUUUUCUCCACUCUAGUUUCUAACUUCCCAUUACACACACUCCCUCUGAAAGGCACCGCGCCAGUGGAGCCGGUUCACUCUGUUCUCUCCUUUAUGACAGCUGUCAGUCUGUCGCCGCCUGAACAUGCAACAUUUCAACAAAAUCCAAAGCGGAAUUGGAAGGGCAGGGGCUGAAGCACACAGCCUGAUCUCCUUCCUGGAGGUCCCAGACUCCUUAACCAUCACCUUUUAACCUGCCGAAGUGGAGAUGGGGUUUCACCCUGUUGGCCAGCCUGGUCUGGAACUCCUGACCUCAGAGCCAUCUCUCAAAUUUUGCAGAAAGGUGGGGCUGGCGGUGGAUGCUGGAAACACUGCUGAGGAAGAGGGAAUGAGAGAAGAGCGAGCCUACAACUGAUCUAAAAUCCACCCCCUACCCCUGCAAGAAAGGAAGUGUCCACUACUGAUUCAUUGCAAGCUCUUUAGUGCGGCAGAACAAGGCAGAUGACCAUUCUACAAAGGGGAGGCAGCCGUGGUGGCCCAGAGUCAUUAGUUGAAGCUGCUGGAAUGAGGAUGACAUCUAGAGAGAAGUGAAUAUUCUCCACCUAAAGCAACCACGGCUCUUUGAAGAAGUGACUGAAUCCAAGGCUGGGACAUAUGGCAUUUUUGUGUGGGUGCCAGAAAGCAUGAAAGCACCCAAAUAAUGAUGGGGACAUGUCAAAAAGGCACAAAAGCCAGUGUACUACAAUAUAAGCAUCACAUAACUAAUCAUAGUAGCAUAUUUCAGCUCACUUAUUAAAAGAGGAAACUAUGAUUUUAUAUUGAUAUAAAUAGACCUAAAAUGUGUUGAGUAACUGAAUUUUACAUAUUCUCAAAAUAUCUACCCCUGAAAUUAUUAAUUAUAAAAGAAUAAGUACCUGUAUAAUUUGAGUACAGAAAAAAUGUUCUAAAUAACACUGAAAAUAUGAGGAUAAUAAAAGAAUAAUCUAUAAAUUUAAUCAAAUAAAACAAAUAAUAGAGUACUUUUAUAUGGCCAGAUCACCAUAAGCAAAGUUAAAAGACAAAUUACAAAUUGAAAGAAAAGACUUUGCAGUACAUAUAGCAGAUAAAGAACUAAUAUUAAUAAUACAAGGAAUAUUUAAAACCAGGGGAAGAGAAAAAAGGCAAUAGAAAUAUGAGCAAAAAGAUGAAGAAUUUACAAAGAAAAUAUUUAAAAUGAUCUUUACACAUAUGUUCACUUUCACUUGUAAAAUGAAAAAUAAAAAAUAACUACCCUGGAUCUAUUACUCAGCUCUGGAACUGGCAAAAAUUAAAGGUUUCACAACCCACUUUUUUGGUCAGGUGUUGGGGAAACACAAGAAUAGGAGAAAAGGAGUGAAAGAAGAAGAGAAAGGGAGAAGAGACAUUGAGUGAAUGAUAAAUCAUAUGGGACAAAACGUAACAAAUGGUGAAGCUUGGUAAGAAAUCUUGGUAAGUGGUGUACAAUAGUUAUUUGUACCAUGCUUGUAAUUCUUCUGUGAGUUUGAAAUAAAGUAUAAAAAUAAAAUGUUGAAGAAACUAACUUUUAAAA